GGUGACUUAGUUUAGUGGUCAGCACGUUCGCCUCACACCUCCAAGGCCAUGGGUUCAAAUCCAACCGUGGCUA